rnacentral:rRNA from 1 species
AACGAACGCUGGCGGCAUGCCUAACACAUGCAAGUCGAACGAGACCUUCGGGUCUAGUGGCGCACGGGUGCGUAACGCGUUGGAACCUGCCCUUAGGUUCGGAAUAACUCCCCGAAAGGGGUGCUAAUACCGGAUAAUGUCUUCGGACCAAAGAUUUAUCGCCUUUGGAUGGGCCCGCGUUGGAUUAGCUAGUUGGUAGGGUAAAAGCCUACCAAGGCGACGAUCCAUAGCUGGUCUGAGAGGAUGAUCAGCCACACUGGGACUGAGACACGGCCCAGACUCCUGCGGGAGGCGGCAGUGGGGGAUAUUGGACAGUGGGCGAAAGGCUGAUCCAGCAAGGACGCGUGAGUGAUGAAGGCCUUAGGGUUGUAAAGCUCUUUUACCCGGGAUGAUAAUGACAGUACCGGGAGAAUAAGCUCCGGCUAACUCCGUG